GGUCAAGUGAAGAAGCGCAUACGGUGGAUGCCUUGGCAGUCAGAGGCGAUGAAAGACGUGGUAGCCUGCGAAAAGCUUCGGGGAGUCGGCAAACAGACUUUGAUCCGGAGAUCUCUGAAUGGGGGAACCCACCUAGGAUAACCUAGGUAUCUUGUACUGAAUCCAUAGGUGCAAGAGGCGAACCAGGGGAACUGAAACAUCUAAGUACCCUGAGGAAAAGAAAUCAACCGAGAUUCCCUUAGUAGUGGCGAGCGAACGGGGAUUAGCCCUUAAGCUUCAUUGAUUUUAGCGGAACGCUCUGGAAAGUGCGGCCAUAGUGGGUGAUAGCCCCGUACGCGAAAGGAUCUUUGAAGUGAAAUCGAGUAGGACGGAGCACGAGAAACUUUGUCUGAACAUGGGGGGACCAUCCUCCAAGGCUAAAUACUACUGACUGACCGAUAGUGAACCAGUACCGUGAGGGAAAGGCGAAAAGAACCCCGGAGGGGGAGUGAAAUAGAACCUGAAAACCGUAUGCGUACAAGCAGUGGGAGCCUACUUGUUAGGUGACUGCGUACCUUUUGUAUAAUGGGUCAGCGACUUAUAUUCAGUGGCAAGCUUAACCGUAUAGGGUAGGCGUAGCGAAAGCGAGUCUUAAUAGGGCGUUUAGUCGCUGGGUAUAGACCCGAAACCGGGCGAUCUAUCCAUGAGCAGGUUGAAGGUUAGGUAACACUGACUGGAGGACCGAACCCACUCCCGUUGAAAAGGUAGGGGAUGACUUGUGGAUCGGAGUGAAAGGCUAAUCAAGCUCGGAGAUAGCUGGUUCUCCUCGAAAGCUAUUUAGGUAGCGCCUCAUGUAUCACUCUGGGGGGUAGAGCACUGUUUCGGCUAGGGGGUCAUCCCGACUUACCAAACCGAUGCAAACUCCGAAUACCCAGAAGUGCCGAGCAUGGGAGACACACGGCGGGUGCUAACGUCCGUCGUGAAAAGGGAAACAACCCAGACCGCCAGCUAAGGUCCCAAAGUUGUGGUUAAGUGGUAAACGAUGUGGGAAGGCUUAGACAGCUAGGAGGUUGGCUUAGAAGCAGCCAUCCUUUAAAGAAAGCGUAAUAGCUCACUAGUCGAGUCGGCCUGCGCGGAAGAUGUAACGGGGCUCAAACCACACACCGAAGCUGCGGGUGUCACGUAAGUGACGCGGUAGAGGAGCGUUCUGUAAGCCUGUGAAGGUGAGUUGAGAAGCUUGCUGGAGGUAUCAGAAGUGCGAAUGCUGACAUGAGUAACGACAAUGGGUGUGAAAAACACCCACGCCGAAAGACCAAGGGUUCCUGCGCAACGUUAAUCGACGCAGGGUUAGUCGGUUCCUAAGGCGAGGCUGAAAAGCGUAGUCGAUGGGAAACAGGUUAAUAUUCCUGUACUUCUGGUUACUGCGAUGGAGGGACGGAGAAGGCUAGGCCAGCUUGGCGUUGGUUGUCCAAGUUUAAGGUGGUAGGCUGAAAUCUUAGGUAAAUCCGGGGUUUCAAGGCCGAGAGCUGAUGACGAGUCGUCUUUUAGAUGACGAAGUGGUUGAUGCCAUGCUUCCAAGAAAAGCUUCUAAGCUUCAGGUAACCAGGAACCGUACCCCAAACCGACACAGGUGGUCGGGUAGAGAAUACCAAGGCGCUUGAGAGAACUCGGGUGAAGGAACUAGGCAAAAUGGCACCGUAACUUCGGGAGAAGGUGCGCCGGCUAGGGUGAAGGAUUUACUCCGUAAGCUCUGGCUGGUCGAAGAUACCAGGCCGCUGCGACUGUUUAUUAAAAACACAGCACUCUGCAAACACGAAAGUGGACGUAUAGGGUGUGACGCCUGCCCGGUGCCGGAAGGUUAAUUGAUGGGGUUAGCGCAAGCGAAGCUCUUGAUCGAAGCCCCGGUAAACGGCGGCCGUAACUAUAACGGUCCUAAGGUAGCGAAAUUCCUUGUCGGGUAAGUUCCGACCUGCACGAAUGGCGUAACGAUGGCGGCGCUGUCUCCACCCGAGACUCAGUGAAAUUGAAAUCGCUGUGAAGAUGCAGUGUAUCCGCGGCUAGACGGAAAGACCCCGUGAACCUUUACUGUAGCUUUGCACUGGACUUUGAGCCUGCUUGUGUAGGAUAGGUGGGAGGCUUUGAAGCGUGGACGCCAGUUCGCGUGGAGCCAUCCUUGAAAUACCACCCUGGCAUGCUUGAGGUUCUAACUCUGGUCCGUAAUCCGGAUCGAGGACAGUGUAUGGUGGGCAGUUUGACUGGGGCGGUCUCCUCCUAAAGAGUAACGGAGGAGUACGAAGGUGCGCUCAGACCGGUCGGAAAUCGGUCGCAGAGUAUAAAGGCAAAAGCGCGCUUGACUGCGAGACAGACACGUCGAGCAGGUACGAAAGUAGGUCUUAGUGAUCCGGUGGUUCUGUAUGGAAGGGCCAUCGCUCAACGGAUAAAAGGUACUCCGGGGAUAACAGGCUGAUACCGCCCAAGAGUUCAUAUCGACGGCGGUGUUUGGCACCUCGAUGUCGGCUCAUCACAUCCUGGGGCUGAAGCCGGUCCCAAGGGUAUGGCUGUUCGCCAUUUAAAGUGGUACGCGAGCUGGGUUUAGAACGUCGUGAGACAGUUCGGUCCCUAUCUGCCGUGGACGUUUGAGAUUUGAGAGGGGCUGCUCCUAGUACGAGAGGACCGGAGUGGACGAACCUCUGGUGUUCCGGUUGUCACGCCAGUGGCAUUGCCGGGUAGCUAUGUUCGGAAAAGAUAACCGCUGAAAGCAUCUAAGCGGGAAACUUGCCUCAAGAUGAGAUCUCACUGGGAACUUGAUUCCCCUGAAGGGCCGUCGAAGACUACGACGUUGAUAGGCUGGGUGUGUAAGCGUUGUGAGGCGUUGAGCUAACCAGUACUAAUUGCCCGUGAGGCUUGACCAU
rnacentral:rRNA from 1 species